UAGUAGAAAUAGCAGCCAGGUCUCACUCAAAUCAAACUGUUCUGUCUUAUGUAUGUAUAUAUGUAGGUAUGAGUCAAUGAGGGAGACCUGUACAUGGUAGCUUGACCUGGUUGAAAUAGCAGCCAAAUCUCCCUCAAAUCACACCCUACUCAUUUAUGUAAAUAUUGUAUGAGAGU